rnacentral:ribozyme from 1 species
AAAAAAAAAAAAAAAAAAAAAAAAAAAAACGAGAACAAGAACAGUACACAGCGGCAGCCACCUUCUCAUGGCGCCCUGAGAUAGUUUUUUUUUGGGGUUUUUUUUUUUUUUUUUGUUACAUUUAUUU